UGAGGACCACACACACCCAAAAAGACCUUUCCCUUUCUCCCGUGCCUUCUCUCUCACUCCUUCCUCUCAGAUUUUUGCAGAAACCAGUACAACAUUCGGAAAAACUCCAAGCUUCCAUUUCAAGCACGGAUCGACGUCAAGAAGGACACAAGAAGCUUUAGAUUGUCUUCACGAAGCUCGGAGAAGAAAAAUGAAGUGAUUUGGAUGUCGGAAAGUUGAGAUACGACGAGUUACAGGUUUAGCCAGAAUAUCGAAGGAUUUUUCGGCAAGUUCGGUCGGUUUUAGGACCUUUGAAAGUGAACGACGACGGCGACGACGACCGGCGAGUCUAACCGGAGAAGAAGAUAGAAUAUUUCGUCAAAGUUGACGGAAUAUUCUGACGCCGUCAAGUAAAAUUAAUGGAUUCCGUUACUUUUUAACGAAUAUUCCUAACGGGGUUAGGGGAUUCCGUUAGUUUCCUUGGGCGUGGCCGCGCGUGUUGCUGUGCCUUGGCCAGUGCGUGGCGGCUCGUGGAUGGUCGGAAAAUUAUUUUUAAAAUAUGGGGAUGUUCAUGGAGUUGUGUAGAUCACGUUGGUGAGACUUAUCCCGAGGACAAACGCAGUCAAGGGCAACUCGGGGGCUACAACCAUUCGACAUACCAGUUUUAGGUAAGCUUGCCGUUGCUGGGUAUGAGGAUUUCGGUGGUUCUGACAUAUUAAAAUAAUUAUAGGACAUCUUAUGGUACUGUAUCAUUAGUACUUGUCCUACUGGACUGCACCUAGACUUUAUAUGCUCUGAUUAGGGGUAUUUACUUUUGUAUCUCACUCCUA